AGUGAACGCUGGCGGUAGGCCUAACACAUGCAAGUCGAACGGCAGCACAGUAAGAGCUUGCUCUUACGGGUGGCGAGUGGCGGACGGGUGAGGAAUACAUCGGAAUCUACUUUUUCGUGGGGGAUAACGUAGGGAAACUUACGCUAAUACCGCAUACGACCUACGGGUGAAAGCAGGGGAUCUUCGGACCUUGCGCGAUUGAAUGAGCCGAUGUCGGAUUAGCUAGUUGGCGGGGUACAGGCCCACCAAGGCGACGAUCCGUAGCUGGUCUGAGAGGAUGAUCAGCCACACUGGAACUGAGACACGGUCCAGACUCCUACGGGAGGCAGCAGUGGGGAAUAUUGGACAAUGGGCGCAAGCCUGAUCCAGCCAUACCGCGUGGGUGAAGAAGGCCUUCGGGUUGUAAAGCACUUUUGUUGGGAAAGAAAAGCAGCAGGUUAAUACCCCGCUGUUCUGACGGUACCCAAAGAAUAAGCACCGGCUAACUUCGUG
rnacentral:rRNA from 1 species